UAAAAUAAAUUGUUGUAUAAAUUUACUUUGCGCAUAUACUAAUUUUAAUAAAUUUUAUUUAAAUAGAUUUAAGUAUUAAAUUAUUUUUAUAUAAAUUUUAUUUAAUUAAUAAUUAGAGUUAUAAAACUAUAAUAAAAAUAUUAAAAAAAAAUAAAAUUUAUUAUAAAAAAUAAUUUUAUAUCCACAGCAUCGCUCGGGUAUUUCACUAGUAAAGCUAGAUUUAAAGGUAAACUUCUUAGAACACUUUUGCGCUUAGAGUUUCAUGUAUAUUAUUAUUUAUGCUUUAGUCCUUAAUUCUAAUACUGUUAGUAGUUUGCCGAAAAAAUUAGGGUUAAUUUCAUACAGGUCUCUACAAACAUAGUGAAUUAUAAAUAUAUCUCUACAAAGUUCAACUUUUAUAUGUCGUCCUCCUGAUAUUUUCAAAUAUAUUCAUAUUGUUAGAAAAAAUUAGUUAAUCAUGAAUAAAAUACUUAACCUUGGAUAGUUAAUGAGGUGAAUUGAUCUUUUUACCCCUCUUCAAUCAACCACUAGGACUUUUGGAAGGAUAUAUUUGUAAGGCAAAAAGGUCAUUUCACUUAUAAAAUAAACAGUGCUUUAACAGUAAUAAACUAGAGGGACAUAUUUGAAAAUAUUAGGAUUUUUGUAGGGACAACAUAUGAAAGUUGAACUUUGUAGGCAUAUAUAUAUUUGUAAUUCACUAUAUUUGUAGGGACCUAUAUAAAAUUAAUCCAAAAAAAUUAUGUUUUUAAAAAGAAAAAUGCCUAUUUAUUUUAUUAACUUAAAAUUUGAUUAAAACUUUAUUUUUAAUUAAUAUUUUAUUUUUUUAAAUCUUUAAAUUUAGAUAGUAAAUUCAAAUAUCAAAGUUUAAAUUCUAGCUCAAAUUUUAAAUUUUUAAAGUCAAAUUCAAAUUUUAAAAUAAAAUUCAGUAAAAAAAAUAUUAUUAUUAAACAAAAUUUUUUGUUUGCCAAACAAUUUUCUAAAAUAAUAUCAGAAAAAUCGCUUUCUUGCUCACUCAGUCAAACGCUCUAUACCUUUUAACCAAAUUUAAUUUUUUAAAUUAAAAUUAUUUCUGCAGAAAUUAUUUUUUCAAAAUCUUCGCGGAACAACCCUUAAAUUUCUUCUAAUUAGAUCUUUAUCCCAAUUUCAUU
rnacentral:lncRNA from 1 species